AAAUCCUUGGCAACUUCCAAUCCUAGCUGGAAAAAGUCCAUGCAGCCUCUGCCAGUGUCUCCUGAGGCAGUCACUCUGAGAGUUUUGCCUCCUGUAAGAAGUUCAUCUAUCUGGUGUCCACCACUUAGAAAGACCACAUCGAGAUACCAAAUUGAGAAAGUGCUAAAAACUCACGCAAGGAGCUUCCUUUGUACCUAGAUCUGAUUUAGAUGAAAACAUUUGCUGACUCCUGAGAUCACUGAAGAUCUCUUUCUUAAGGAAUUCAUAAAAUAUCAUAAAUAGGAAUUACAGACAGACAGUUCCUCGGAGAGGUGAGUAGUUCCACUGCUUGAGGAAGCAUGAGAACCUAUUUUGGAGGGCAUCGACUUCCUUUCGGUAUUGUUACCAGGAGACCUGGUCCCAGUGAAAGAGCUACGGAGUCACCGGUCACCUCAGCUCCCAGGUGAUGUAGGUCACUUUUGCAGGUAUUGAUUGCACAUCUGUCUACAGGUGUGGGCAGUGCUCUUCCCCAAGAAAGGAAUUGUGGGCCUGUGACUGGUAUGGCUGUAAAGUGAGUGAAGAGAUGACCCUGGGCUUGAUGAUGUACCUUGGUGAGAAUCAACUGAACAUCACCUCAAACUGCUGUGUGGCUUCUGGUUUUUCAGUCAAGUUUCUUCUCUUUCCCUGUUUUCAGUAGUCACAUACAUAAAGGGCAGUGAAAUGCCAACCUGACCUAACUGAAAGUCCUGGAGGUAUGAAACUGUAAAAGAAGAUAAUAGACAUAUGUGGAGCUGACUGGAAGCCCUUGAUAGCAUACUUCACGUUCCUGUUUAACCUUUUAACUAGAAAAAUGCACUCGUUGAGUAGAAACGUCUGCUAGGAAAAAAGAAAAAAAGAAAGGAAGGAAAGAAGGAAGGAAGGAAGGAAGGAAGGAAGGAAGGAAGGAAGGAAGGAAGGAAGGAAUUCUGUUUCAAAUCCUUUGGGCAUAUUUUUAGUUUUGUACCAUGUCAAUGCAUUGCUUCAUUAAAGAAAUCACAGACCCUAGAGGUGGAAAGUUCCUUAGAGAUACUUUGUCAAGAUUUGGACUCAUACAGGAGUCUUCUGUGUAAGUACUAAGAUUCUCUACAGACAAUGUGGUCCCUUCUUGCCUGGACCAGAGCUUCUCAUGGCUCUGAACUUGGAGCCCCACCGCUUGGAAGGAAUGAGUAUCAGUAUUCAAAAGUAUUUAAAUAAUCCUGCUUACCCCAGUUUUAUUCAGCAAAUGUCAUCUGUAAUAAAGAAAUGGAUAUUGGCAAUUUUUUUUUCACAGCUACUGAAGGAUCUUGAGAGCACUUUAUGAUAAAAUACUCUUGUUGAGCCCUUGAUACCCAUAGGCCAAUGGGCUGGGUUUGUCCCAAAUGAUGCCCCAUGCCCCAAGAGCAAGGCAUUACCCCAGUUUACGUGCCUAUCCCCCAACUCCACAUAAUCAAAUGCUGAGUUUUUGAACUUUAUAACAUAGACUGAUUAGUGACCCCUUAAUUCUUGAAGGCUGGUAGAUGGUCUGUCUGCUUAAUUUUAUAGCUACCCAAAGGUUUUCAUCAGCACUCACAAGUUCAGUUUGAUCAUCCCAGCACAGCCUGAGCUUGAACUUCAGCUACAAGUGCUGAGGCGAUGGGUUCUUUGGGUCUUGUUCCUAAAGACUAGGAAGUGAGAAUGAUAGUGACUUUGUUUCCCUUGUGGGGGAAUUCUCUCCUCCGUAGUCUUGCUAACAAAUUUGUCUCCCAAACUCUGAGAUUUCAGGGGGAAAACAAAGGGCCUCCUCUGUGUACAGGAAAGCAAGUGAUGGAAACAUGCCGAGGAGAAGGAGUGACACACUCAGGGAGUGCCUGUAGCACCAUGGUGGCAUGGGAAGAAAUGGAAGGUCCAUAUUGGAGAUGAAGAAAAACUGGCCGUUACUAAGAUUUCUGCAUUCUUCUGGAGUUGUGAUCUACAAAUUCGGUGCCAUCUGUGGAAGUGACAAUCCCUGACGUGUUCAGCCUGCCCCUGCCCCUGGCAUGAGAGGAAGCUAGGGAGAAAGAGAAGUCCCAGAAUUACAGUGGCCGAGGGAGGUGGUGAUAGCUUCUGUACAUGUUUAUUUCUUCUUGUCGCUUUGCUUUUGAUUUCAAACUCAUUUGUCUUCGGGUUCCAGAUUUCUUUUCCUCAUUGUAAACUAGGUUUUGAAAUUAUUUGGCCCAUCUAUGUGCUUCUCUUAAAUGAAACGUAAAUUGGCUUUUGUUUUAAAUUUCAGGUGUUUCAGGUUUGACUCUACUACUCAUCUCCUAAGGCAGUUUAGCUAUGGCAGUGAAUUUAUUACUGCC